AGAGGAGGAACCCAGCCUUAAUUUCCAGUGAUGGAGCAGAGGAUCGAGUCAGCUGUUGCUCCAGAAGAGGCUGAAUUAAGGUAUGGCUGAAAAACAAAAAGGUGCACCUAUGGCUGGCUUCCCCAGGUAAAAAGGUCUGAAGGAGCAGAGAGGAAGAAGCAUCGAGCUGAGGAGGCAACCAGAGAACAGAUGCCUGUUAGCUACAAGUAACAGAAGUACCAAAGACCACAGGAAGACCUUAGGUUUCCUGGAGCAAAGUGUGUCUCAGAUAGAAAAUAUCAUAUACAACAUAUUUCUUGGAAAACUACACUGGAAGCACAUGUUUCUUCUCACAGCCGCCAACCGUUCUCCUUGCUUCCCCACAACCCCACCAAUUAUAUCUCGCGUGCUGCUUCCUCCUGCAGCCCCGAGGAGACCGGCUCCGCUCAAAGCCCUCCUUCAGAACCCCACGGUUUGGAAGCAGACGCGUGCCCUGCCCUCCCCGGCACCUGCAAAGGCUCCAGCUCUCGUUCAUCUGCAGCUUAUUUCAGGCUCGAGGUUUAGGUGUGUGCACAUGCAAAUCUUUUUUCCUUCUGUUAUUAUAUACUUGUGGAAGAACAGCUUCUUAUUUGCUUAAAUAAUCCUUGCAUUUGAUUAUUGUUUUCUUUUUAAUUGCUGUA